UUGCCUGAGAGACACAUAGCAAUUUCUCUCUUAAUUCAGGAUGGCUCCUAAGAUUUGGGCUGGCUCUUAACGGCACAAGAGGAGAAU